rnacentral:rRNA from 1 species
GCACCUACGGGGCGCAGCAGUGGGGAAUAUUGCACAAUGGGGGAAACCCUGAUGCAGCGACGCCGCGUGAGUGAAGAAGUAUCUCGGUAUGUAAAGCUCUAUCAGCAGGAAAGAUAAUGACGGUACCUGACUAAGAAGCCCCGGCUAACUACGUGCCAGCAGCCGCGGUAAUACGUAGGGGGCAAGCGUUAUCCGGAUUUACUGGGUGUAAAGGGUGCGUAGGCGGAAGGUUAAGUCAGCGGUCAAAUGUCGGUGCUCAACACCGGCCUGCCGUUGAAACUGGUCUUCUUGAGUGAGCGAGAAGU